rnacentral:lncRNA from 1 species
UUUCUAAUAUUUCCCAUGGUCUUCUGGAAUUGAAAUCACAUAUACAUGAAGCAAUGAUAGGGUGUCUGGUGGAGGUCACACUCAGCAAGGCGUUCUUAAUGCCAAGCUCAUCUGUUUGAAGUUCCUGGGCAUUUGCCAUAAGGAAUUAAUGCCACUCAAGAGUGAGUCCCCAUUCACAGAGCUCAGGGUUGGUGGGUGACUUGGGGUGGAGGUGGCAGGAGUCCCCAAAUCUUAUGAUGUUGCUAUUCGGGGACCCUUCAUCUCUAGGAUCCUCCCCAUCCACUUCCCCACAGCCAUUACUGUGGCUCUGUCCUGAGUACAGGGGUUAUUCUUGGACUGGGAGUCCAAGCACAGUGGCCCAGGGCUUCAGCUCCAGCUUCACCCCAGCAAUUAGUCUGUAACAAGCUUU